rnacentral:rRNA from 1 species
UCCUACGGGAGGCAGCAGUGGGAAAUUUUGGACAAUGGGCGAAAGCCUGAUCCAGCAAUGCCGCGUGUGUGAAGAAGGCCUUCGGGUUGUAAAGCACUUUUGUCCGGAAAGAAAUCCUUGGCUCUAAUACAGUCGGGGGAUGACGGUACCGGAAGAAUAAGCACCGGCUAACUACGUGCCAGCAGCCGCGGUAAUACGUAGGGUGCGAGCGUUAAUCGGAAUUACUGGGCGUAAAGCGUGCGCAGGCGGUUUGCUAAGACCGAUGUGAAAUCCCCGGGCUCAACCUGGGAACUGCAUUGGUGACUGGCAGGCUAGAGUAUGGCAGAGGGGGGUAGAAUUCCACGUGUAGCAGUGAAAUGCGUAGAGAUGUGGAGGAAUACCGAUGGCGAAGGCAGCCCCCUGGGCCAAUACUGACGCUCAUGCACGAAAGCGUGGGGAGCAAACAGGAUUAGAUACCCUGGUAGUCCACGCCCUAAACGAUGUCAACUAGUUGUUGGGGAUUCAUUUCCUUAGUAACGUAGCUAACGCGUGAAGUUGACCGCCUGGGGAGUACGGUCGCAAGAUUAAAACUCAAAGGAAUUGACGGGGACCCGCACAAGCGGUGGAUGAUGUGGAUUAAUUCGAUGCAACGCGAAAAACCUUACCUACCCUUGACAUGGUCGGAAUCCCGCUGAGAGGUGGGAGUGCUCGAAAGAGAACCGGCGCACAGGUGCUGCAUGGCUGUCGUCAGCUCGUGUCGUGAGAUGUUGGGUUAAGUCCCGCAACGAGUGCAACCCUUGUCCUUAGUUGCUACGCAAGAGCACUCUAAGGAGACUGCCGGUGACAAACCGGAGGAAGGUGGGGAUGACGUCAAGUCCUCAUGGCCCUUAUGGGUAGGGCUUCACACGUCAUACAAUGGUCGGAACAGAGGGUUGCCAACCCGCGAGGGGGAGCUAAUCCCAGAAAACCGAUCGUAGUCCGGAUUGCACUCUGCAACUCGAGUGCAUGAAGCUGGAAUCGCUAGUAAUCGCGGAUCAGCAUGCCGCGGU